rnacentral:rRNA from 1 species
ACGAACGCUGGCGGCGUGCUUAACACCUGCCAGUCGCACGGAAAGGCCCUGCUUGCAGGGUACUCGAGUGGCGAACGGGUGAGUAACACGUGGGUGAUCUGCCCUGCACUUCGGGAUAAGCCUGGGAAACUGGGUCUAAUACCGGAUAGGAGCCAUUUUUAGUGUGAUGGUUGGAAAGUUUUUUCGGUGUAGGAUGAGCUCGCGGCCUAUCAGCUUGUUGGUGGGGUAAUGGCCUACCAAGGCGGCGACGGGUAGCCGGCCUGAGAGGGUGGACGGCCACAUUGGGACUGAGAUACGGCCCAGACUCCUACGGGAGGCAGCAGUGGGGAAUAUUGCACAAUGGGCGCAAGCCUGAUGCAGCGACGCCGCGUGGGGGAUGACGGCCUUCGGGUUGUAAACUCCUUUCGCUAGGGACGAAGCUUUUGUGACGGUACCUAGAUAAGAAGCACCGGCUAACUACGUG